rnacentral:rRNA from 1 species
AUUGAACGCUAGCGGGAUGCUUUACACAUGCAAGUCGAGCGAGUGGCGGACGGGUGAGUAAUAUAUCGGAACGUGCCCAGGAGCGGGGUAUAACUACUCGACAGAAUGGCUAAUACCGCAUUCUAUGAGAACGGCAGAUAUUGGUUUAGCGAGUUGGUGGGGUAAAGGCUCACCAAGGCAACGAUCCGUAGCUGGUGUGAGAGGACGACCAGCCACACGGGGACUGAGACACGGCCCAGACUCCUACGGGAGGCAGCAGUGGGGAAUAUUGGACAAUGGGGGAAACCCUGAUCCAGCCAUCCCGCGUGUAUGAGAAGGCCUUCGGGUUGUAAAGUACUUUUAGCAGAGAAGCGGUAUUUGCAGAAUAAGCACCGGCUAACUACGUGCCAGCAGCCGCGGUAAUUC